rnacentral:tRNA from 1 species
GCCGCCGUAGCUCAGCUGGCAGAGCACCGGCCUCGUAAGAGCCGGGGGUCCCGGGUUCAAAUCCCGGCGGCGGCUCCA